rnacentral:rRNA from 1 species
ACCCUAUGAAUUUUUAUUAGAUUGUGAUGAGAAUUAUUUGAAAUCUAAUUUGGUUGGGGUGAUUAAAAAAGAAUAUAUAUCUUUUUGUAUUAAAGAAAUUAAUUUGUUCCGUUAUUAACGAUUAAAUGAGAAAAA